rnacentral:tRNA from 1 species
UCCGGAAUGGUGUAGUGGCUAGCAUUUCUGCCUCUCAUUAGCUGUUCCGAUAAACAGUUGAAGCGUUCGCAGGAGACCGGGGUUCAAUUCCCCGUUCCGGAA